UACAAGUUUGUGGGAGUAACAAACCAAUAUCUGAUUUGACUGAAGGCCUCCUUCAUGAGAUGGAACCCAUACCUAACAAUGCUUGGGCAAAAAAAGGAUCUGGGACUAAUGGCCUAGGGACCUAGGGCAAAACCAAAUACUAUUGUUUUAAAAAUAUAAAACAAAACAAAAUCAUAGCAAUAUAAUUUGUUUCUUAUGAUAUUCUGCUAUAUUCAUAGUUCAGUACCUUGCUCGGUCUUCAUGAGAGAAAUUUCCACCUGCAGCAGAUAGGAAUAAAUACCUAGACCAAUAGUCAGACAUACAGAGUGAGAAACCUUGGAACACUUAUCCCUAAAUGGAAUUACUUCAUCAAGUGUGGCCCCUCAGUGUUCAGGGAACCCUUCAAAGGAGGAAGUAGAGAGAGUGUAGGAGCUGGAGGAGAUGAAGGACACCUUGGAAAGAAGCCCUCUAAACCCACAGGGUUGAUGCACAAAUGAACUCACAGAGACUGAGGUAGCAUGCACACAGCUACUGGGCUCUGCACCAGAUGGGCUCCUAGAGGUGAUAGGGGAUCUGCACACAUACUCCUCGCAUCCCUAAACCAGAAACAAUCUCCAACUGAUCAGCACUUGCAUAUGAAAAUGUAGUUUCCUCUAAGGGAACCUCACUGGGGAAAUAAAUUACUUUUAAUGAUAGGCUACAAGCCCAGCAAUAGAUGGCCAACCGAAAAUGAAUUCAGCAGCAUCUUUGGAGGUUUCUUAUCUCAAUGGCAUGUCAAGGCUGUCUCUACUCUAGAGGCAGUGGGACCUGAGAGAGUGGAGUACAUAAACAGGGUAGAGCAAAGUUUCAUGCACUAGCCAACUACGUUCGAGGCUUCAGAUGAUUUAUUUAUACUUUGAAGGUUAAGAAAAAUAAUCAGACAAGUAAAAUUCUCAUGGGUUCAGGCUGUAUACAGCCACAAAGAAAAGCUGCGUGGGGCAAAAACAUGUUUUUCCAUACAGGCUUUCCAUAGAAAGGAUAGCUUAAACAUUUAAUUGAUUAACAACAGCAAACAAUAAUGAUUUAUUUGAAGUAAACUCAUUCCUAUCAGUUACACCUGGGAGAAACAUGAAACCACAUUUCAAGAACAAUUUCAUGUUUUGAAGAAACUGAGGUCACAAGACUCUUGUCUUCUUUUAUUAGAGUGUUCUCACAAGUACUCAGAAUUCCCUUUGUGUGAUGACAUUCUUGGACUAUCGCAUGACAGGACUCUUUUUGGUUGUUUUUAGGGGGUGGGACUAUUUUGUUUGUUCGUUGAUACAUAUUGUGCUUCUCCUGUUUUUAUAUUACAGGUCCUCUGUAUAUAUUAUGGCUUCUCAUUUCAUGGUUUUAUGGGAUUUCUGAGUGUGCAAACAAGUGGGUCUCCAUUUCUUGUGCCUUUUCUUGGGCUCUUUUGCUUCUCUUUGUUUUGUCCUAUUCCAAUAUUUUAAUCUUUGUUUUACCUUAUAGUAUUUUAUUUUAUUAUUAUUCCAGAGAAGACUUUGUUUUCUUGUGAGAGAGAAAGGGAACGGAUGCAGAUGCGAGGGGUCGGAUCUGGGAGGAGUAGAGGGAGGGGGAACCUUUCUGGUUGACUUCAUUAUUCUGUUGCUCUUGCAACAGAGUAAAUAAACAUAAUAACUUUUGGACGGGACAGCAAUUUGAAAACCAAUUCUCACAAAUGGGCCUAAGCAUAGAAAAUUUUGCAUAUUCAGCUGUCUCCAAGGUCCAUAUUUCUUACUAAAUCAUUGGUACAGAAAACUUUUUAAAAAUUAUUUAUUUUAGUUUAGUUUAAAUUUAUUAACUUUUCUUUUUUUAAUUUCUAACAUUUUUUGUUUUGAUUUUUGUUUUUAAUUUAAUUUUAUCUCCACAUAGAUGCCCAAGAUGCUAUCUAAUUAUGUUCUUUGCUUUGUGCUGGUGGAAGGAAGCCAGUGGUUUAUUAAUAGAUUCCAAAAGGUUUUUAUUUAUAAGACACAAGAUAAUAUUUCCAAUGGAUAAGUGGCUAGAACUAGUCCAAGAUAAGGUAAUUGGCCUCUAGAUUUGCAACAUUCCCAUCUUUCCAUAGUAUUGGAAUUUUAAUGGGCCAACCAGUCUCUGCCGACACACCUCCUUUUUGUGAGUUUUCCUUCUCACUAUUUAUGAACUAGUUAGUGAAUGAAAUUAAAACUCUGUUGAAAUACACUUUGAACUUUGUGUAUUAUUCAGAAUAUUUAUGAGGACAGGGAACUCUAUAUUGUGUCCCCUUUGAACACUGUCAUUGUGCUAAGUAUCUGACAGAUAUCUGAGAAGCUCUUAUAGAGUAAACUUGUUUUCGGAUCCUGGUUGUGAGGACUACCAGAAUUUUCAUCAAUUACUGAAGUAGGUUUUGGAGCCAUAGGUGGGUACAGGUUCUUCUAAAGACACAUAAGGCUCUGACAUGCUUUCCAUAGUGAUUCUACUUUGCAACACUCUCCAGAAAGUCUAGCUUCAUGCAAAGAAGCAGCGAACCUGCAUCCCAUAGACAGUCUUGCACUGAUUCAGAUGACCCAGUACGAAUCUCUCCAUUUCCCCAGGCCUUUGGGAGCUCCCCUGUAAAACCAAGGUCAUAUUUCUUCCUCUGCCUGCAUCACAGAGUUUUUCCCCAUAAUUUAUUUAUUUUAUUCACAUUAUACCCAAUCACAACACACUCCCUCCUCUCCUUCCAGUCCCACCUUUACAAAUCCUUCCCCCCAUUACACUCUCCAGUACUCAGAGAUGGGGAAGUCCUCCUUGGUUGCCACCCCUCCAAUUGUUAGGGGACUAACAUGAAGACCAAACUGCACAUCUGCUACAAAUGUGUAGGGGGCCUAGCUCCAGCCUAUGCAUUCUCUUUGGUUGGUGGCUUAUUCAGUGUCUGUGGGCCCCCACGGGUCCAGGCUAGUUGACUCUGUAGGUCUUCUGGUAUCCUUGACCCCUCCAGGUGAAUUCACAGAGGCUUUUAAAAAAAAUUCAGUUUGGAAAAGAGUCAGAAAAAAAAAAUUUUUGUAAAGUUAAAGAUCUGGAAUCAUGAUAACACCCAGGGUGAGGGCUUGAUUCAGAAGUCAGGAAGUGAGUCCUUGUUCAACCUUGGGCAGAUGGGGGUUUUAAUUUGUUUUUCUCAUUUUUAACCAACAUCCGUGAUUCAAGCUGGUAGCUCAUGUGGAACACUCUGUCCUUUGAUAUCCUCAGGGACAGGAGAAUUUGUAAAGCAGUGAGAAAGCAGCCAGCUCAUGAAAUAGUGGAGAGGGAUGAAAUAAGGUGAUGUUGAUGCCUGUGCCUCUUCAAUCUUGCCCUGAGUAACAGGAGUCAUGUAAAACAAGGGCUUCUUAUUCCUAACAAAUCCUUCUUCCCCCGGCUCAUCAUGGAGCUGGGCUGUAGAGUUCCACUGUGCUCUUCCUUUACUGUCAUUAGCUCACUUUCCUUUUAUUUUCCUCUUCCUACAUGACUUCACCUGUUCUCUGACUCUUGCCUAAAUAUUUUCUGAUUACUUUUACCUAUAACUAGAUGUUUUUUGUGAAGCCCGAAUCUCAAGCUGUAUCCAGAUUCUCUAAAGGUACUCCAGUCUUAUUCACACAAAAACCUAAACUCAUCUUCACUUCCCAAAAGCUGACUUCUUUUUGGUCAUCACAACCUGAAUGCUUUGCUGCCUCCUUCAACAUAACACAUGGAAAAUGACUUGAUCAUCAUCUCUAAGGCCACUAUGAGUCUAUUCCUACUCAAAUCUUCUAAAUAUCUGUUAAUAGCAGGGAAUGUAGCUUAGUUCUAGAGUUUGUAUUUAGCAUGCUUAAGACCAUAUUACAUCUAUGGUAAUGUCCAAUCUCUCUCUCUCUCUCUCUCUCUCUCUCUCUCUCUCUCUCUCUCUCUCUCUCUCUCUCUCUCUCGCACAUGCACACGAACACAAUACAAUUCGAGUACUAGUACAAUGGUAUUUCCUGCUAUUCAAGGUUAAACCUGAGAUGUCUCUCUCAUCCCUUCUUGACACUUGGAGGCAGGUUUUCGGGUUUUGUUGUUGUUAUUGUUUUUGUUGUUGUUUUAUUUUCAGUUUUAUUCCGGUAGCAUUUUUUCCUUUGGCUCCUUGUUUCUUUUGUCUACUUUGUUUACAGCCACAUCCCAAAUAACUCUUAGAGCUGCUUAGCACAUAACUAUCAAAAUUAUGGGCUGUAGAAUGAUGAUUUUGUCCCUUUAAAAUGUCAGACUGACUUAAAUAUAAGUUCU
rnacentral:lncRNA from 1 species